AGUGUACUGGAGACUGACCCCAGGGACAAACGUAUGCUAGAUAGAAUAUUAGAGCAAGUAGACUCUCACCAGUUCCUGGGUCAGCCAUUUUGUAAACAAAGAGACUCUCAGCAAUUUCCUGGUCAGCCAUUUUGUAAACAAGUGGACUCUCACCAAUUCCCAGCGUCAAAGCCAGAAUAAACCUGAUAUUACAUUAACUGAAAAUGACUGAAAUGAAGUAAAGAGAUUGUUGUCAUUGAAUAGAUAGCCCCAUGACAAUAAAAAUGGGCUCUGUAAAGAGGGGACAGAAUGAAUGAAUAAUGGAUUAA